UAUGAAAUGCCUACGAUGUUAAUGCAAUGGAUCCCAUAAGAACUUCGUAGUUAAGUGCAUUUGAGAUAGAGUAGUACUGGAAUGGGUGACCUCCUAGGAAGUCCUAGUGUUUUACAUGC
rnacentral:rRNA from 1 species